rnacentral:rRNA from 1 species
GACGAACGCUGGCGGCGUGCUUAACACAUGCAAGUCGAACGGAAAGGCCCUGCUUUUGUGGGGUACUCGAGUGGCGAACGGGUGAGUAACACGUGAGUAACCUGCCCUUGACUUUGGGAUAACUUCAGGAAACUGGGGCUAAUACCGGAUAGGAGCUCCUGCUGCAUGGUGGGGGUUGGAAAGUUUCGGCGGUUGGGGAUGGACUCGCGGCUUAUCAGCUUGUUGGUGGGGUAGUGGCUUACCAAGGCUUUGACGGGUAGCCGGCCUGAGAGGGUGACCGGCGACAUUGGGACUGAGAGACGGCCCAGACUCCUACGGGAGGCAGCGGUGGGGAAUAUUGCACAAUGGGCGGAAGCGUGAUGCAGCAACGCCGCGUGCGGGAUGACGGCCUUCGGGUUGUAAACCGCUUUCGCCUGUGACGAAGCGUGAGUGACGGUAAUGGGUAAAGAAGCACCGGCUAACUACGUG